AGUAGAGCCGGCAGCAGGAGGUUCCACCCUCCCCCUCCCCUCCAAGAUGUCAUCACGUUCUGUUUUUGACCCUCUGCUCAUACAUGGAGGAGGCACACAUGCUCACAUUUGCGAACCGGUAGCAAAGGUAUACAUCUGGAACUGCUGGAAGGCCUCGUGGUGAGACCUCUUAUACCCAGGGGGAAGAGUCAGAGACUAACUGCUCUCUAACCAUGAUUUUGAAAACUGGAAAAUAAAGGCCCAGAAGUAAAUGGAAAGCACAGGAGCACUCCAGAUUUCCUACUGCAGAGAAAUAAAGGAAGAUGAGGGUUGUUGGGUUGUUGUUUUUUUCAAACAAAAUAAAGCCAAACUCAGGAAGAGAAUAAGAAAAAGAAAAGCUACAGAGCUGGAAGCAAGAUAUGGAUUUGUUGCCAGAUUAAAACUUCUCUCCCUUCCUCCUUGUUUUUGAGGAAAGAAAUUCCUUCAGUUUUAUUCUACUGGCUUGCUAAAAGCCCUGAUGGAAAUGGAAUCCUGGAAGAUUGCAUGACACUGCAUGACAUGAGGAGCCUGAGUGGCGCAGCAGACUAAUGCUACUGUUAAAGGUAGUAUUUAGCUUCCAGCUGCCUGCAAUUACUGCGAGUUCAAUUCUCACCAGGCUCAAGGUUGACUCAGCCUUCCUUCCUUUCUAAGGCAUGACCUAAGUGGAGAGGAAGGUCUGCAGAGUUGCCUGAAGGAUAUAAUCAUAGCUCAGCCAUGAAUUUCUGGGACGAAAAUUCACAAGUCCAUUCCUAACUAUUACCUUCUCUGCAGUUGUGGCCAUAAGAGAAGCAGAAUCAUAAUCACUCAUGAAAAAAAAUCAUAAUCCAAUGAAAAUGAAACUUGGGCUUCCAGGUGGAACUCAGCUGCUAGUGAGACUUUGUUGCAAUUAGUACAAUUAAGGAUGAUAUUCAUAAUUUCAUUCAUUGACUUCUCCUGCCAUUGGGCCAUGUUCAGAUUUUUUUUAAAAAAAUGUUAUAUUUUCUGUUGAUUCAAUAACUAAGCUAUAACUAAAUUAACCAACAGGAAUUAACACAGGACAAGUGUGUCUUCUUACUAUAAUUUUCUGUGUUCUGAUGCACCUCUGCAAACUCAUUGGGGCCAAGUAGACAUGACUAAGUGUGCCUAAGAGGACUCGGGGAUCUCCACCUAAGUAUUCAGCAAAGGUUGGUUGGGAAGUUCUCUGCUUGAGAGGCUGCAAAUUUACUGCCUGGCAGACUUGGCAAUGUUGAUUAUGGGAUUAUCUUUGAGUAAGGGGUAAAUGUUCUGGCUUGAUAUAGUGCAAUUUUCUAGGAGCCUCGUCCUAGGAUUGUAAUAAAUGCUGACAGAAAGAGCAAAGAGAUGUAAUGUACAAAAAAAACCCCCUAAAAAUGUCAUUUGUCUGCCUUAAAACAAACUAUAGAAAGGCAAUUUAUUAAUACACCCACAAUAAGAGAAUAAAAUAGCAAUACCUUUCAUAUUCUCUUCAUGUACUUUUUAAUAAUCUGCUAAAGUAUAUCUCAGUUGAUUUUAAGAGACAGUAUGCAUAAUCACUAUAUUCAGUGAAUGUAUUAAUUCAGUUUCGGUUGUUAAGGUGCACCAAUUAGUUUUAUUAUUCAGAGCAUAGUUGCCAUUCUUCCUCAAACACUAAAAGGAAUAUAACCUGUUCAAAGGUGUGUAGCAAAGUUCUAUUACUCUUACAGUAUAAUUAUUCUCUUCAUUUGUUUUUUUAAUUCUUGAAAAUUAUUUUCUAUUUGUUGAAAAGAAUCAAUGAGUAGAGCUAUAGAGCAAAAUUAGUUCUGUAGAACUCUAAGCAUUUGCUGAAAAGCCAAAAAUUUGUUUUCUUUGUUAUGCCCACUGCUAACUUCCAGAUAAAACUACUGGACAGUUGUAGACUGAAUCUUACAUUUUCUCUGCUCUUCCUCCUUUUCUUCUUAAAUGAUUUUUAUGGAGGAAGAAUAUUAAUGGUGCUUAUGAUAUGGCUUGAUUAAAAACUUCAGAAACCUUAGUUGCUGAUGUUGCUAU